rnacentral:rRNA from 1 species
GACGAACGCUGGCGGCGUGCUUAACACAUGCCAGUCGAACGGAAAGGCCCUGCUUUUGUGGGGUGCUCGAGUGGCGAACGGGUGAGUAACACGUGAGUAACCUGCCCUUGACUUUGGGAUAACUUCAGGAAACUGGGGCUAAUACCGGAUAGGAGCUCCUGCUGCAUGGUGGGGGUUGGAAAGUUUCGGCGGUUGGGGAUGGACUCGCGGCUUAUCAGCUUGUUGGUGGGGUAGUGGCUUACCAAGGCUUUGACGGGUAGCCGGCCUGAGAGGGUGACCGGCCACAUUGGGACUGAGAUACGGACCAGACUCCUACGGGAGGCAGCAGUGGGGAAUAUUGCACAAUGGGCGGAAGCCUGAUGCAGCAACGCCGCGUGCGUGAUGACGGCCUUCGGGUUGUAAACCGCUUUCGCCUGUGACGAAGCGUGAGUGACGGUAAUGGGUAAAGAAGCACCGGCUAACUACGUG